UAUGGUAAUUGUGUGCCAGCCUCAGCUUUAAAACGUAGGUCACAAGCGUUGUCCGGAAUUACUGGGUGUAAAGGGAGCGCAGGCGGGAAGACAAGUUGGAAGUGAAAUCUAUGGGCUCAACCCAUAAACUGCUUUCAAAACUGUUUUUCUUGAGUAGUGCAGAGGUAGGCGGAAUUCCCGGUGUAGCGGUGGAAUGCGUAGAUAUCGGGAGGAACACCAGUGGCGAAGGCGGCCUACUGGGCACCAACUGACGCUGAGGCUCGAAAGUGUGGGUAGCAAACAGG
rnacentral:rRNA from 1 species